rnacentral:rRNA from 1 species
AAUAUUGGACAAUGGGGGCAACCCUGAUCCAGCCAUGCCGCGUGUGUGAAGAAGGUCUNCGGAUUNUNAAGCACUUUAAGUUGGGNGGAAGGGCUUUAGGCUAAUACCCUGAAGUUUUGACGUUACCAACAGAAUAAGCACCGGCUAACUCUGUGCCAGCAGCCGCGGUAAUACAAAGGGUGCAAGCGUUAAUCGGAAUUACUGGGCGUAAAGAGUACGUAGGCGGCUAUAUAAGUCAGGUGUGAAAUACCAGUGCUUAACACUGGAAUUGCAUUUGAAACUGUGUAGCUAGAGUACGGUAGAGGGUAGUGGAAUUUCCUGUGUAGCGGUGAAAUGCGUAGAUAUAGGAAGGAACACCAGUGGCGAAGGCGACUACCUGGACUGAUACUGACACUGAGGUGCGAAAGCGUGGGGAGCAAACA